GGGGAUGAAUGAUUCGACGAAAAAUGUACAUUGAUAACGGCAAGCCGGCGAUGACAAAAGAGCCGCAAAACUUUGUCACCUUAUAAUUGCUAACAAACUUAGCAAGCUUGAAGAGCAAUAUCUUGCUCUUUUGGAGCGUUUAGCUCUCAAGCGAUCUAUGCAGGCACGGGCGUUCGCGUUCGCAACUGCGUAAGGUCCAUCCUGUUUCCAUCUCUAUUCGGCGGGUGAUUCAGGGUGUAAAAAUAGCCGAAUCGUCAGAAAUCGGUUUGUAACCGGCCGGUUUCGGAGUAUUUAGGUUGCGCCUUUGGUGAACCGCGGGUGUCCAUUUCUGCCACCAAAGAAUAAAUGGACUACGCUUGUAGAAGUUGUUGAUGUUCGUUUUCGGACCCGGGCUCACCCCCGGCAUCUCCACUU
rnacentral:tmRNA from 1 species